UCGCAUGCAUCCGGAAGGCCAGCCCCAGCGGGUAUGCUGUCGCGCAGCGAAGCACCCAGGCUGAUUUGCCUUGGGCCGGCAGGUUUAGUCGCAUGCAUCCGGAAGGCCAGCCCCAGGGGGUAUGCUGUCGCGCAGCGAAGCACCCAGGCUGAUUUGCCUUGGGCCGGCAGGUUUAGGUCGCAUGCAUCCGGAAGGCCAGCCCCAGGGGGUAUGCUGUCGCGCGGCGAAGCACCCAGGCUGAUUUGCCUUGGGCCGGCAGGUUUAGGUCGCAUGCAUCCGGAAGGCCAGCCCCAGGGGGUAUGCUGUCGCGCAACGAAGCACCCAGGCUGAUUUGCCUUGGGCCGGCAGGUUUAGGUCGCAUGCAUCCGGAAGGCCAGCCCCAGCGGGUAUGCUGUCGCGCGGCGAAGCACCCAGGCUGAUUUGCCUUGGGCCGGCAGGUUUAGGUCGCAUGCAUCCGGAAGGCCAGCCCCAGCGGGUAUGCUGUCGCGCAGCGAAGCACCCAGGCUGAUUUGCCUUGGGCCGGCAGGUUUAGUCGCAUGCAUCCGGAAGGCCAGCCCCAGCGGGUAUGCUGUCGCGCAGCGAAGCACCCAGGCUGAUUUGCCUUGGGCCGGCAGGUUUAGGUCGCAUGCAUCCGGAAGGCCAGCCCCAGG
rnacentral:lncRNA from 1 species